GCAAGUCGAACGAGAAAGGUCCUUUCGGGGACUGAGUAGAGUGGCGCACGGGUGAGUAACGCGUAAGUAAUCUACCUUCGAGUUUGGGAUAACAUUUUGAAAAGAAUGCUAAUACCGAAUAAGACCACAAUGGGGUGAUCCAUGGUGGUAAAAGAUAGCCUCUUCUUGAAAGCUUUCACUUGGGGAUGAGCUUGCGUACCAUUAGUUUGAUGGUGGGGUAAAGGCCUACCAUGGCAACGAUGGUUAGCUGGUCUGAGAGGAUGAUC
rnacentral:rRNA from 1 species